rnacentral:rRNA from 1 species
AGCGAACGCUGGCGGCAGGCCUAACACAUGCAAGUCGAACGAAGUUUUCGGACUUAGUGGCGGACGGGUGAGUAACACGUGGGAAUGUGCCUUUAGGUUCGGAAUAACUCAGGGAAACUUGUGCUAAUACCGAAUGUGCCCUUCGGGGGAAAGAUUUAUCGCCUUUAGAGCAGCCCGCGUCUGAUUAGCUAGUUGGUGAGGUAAAGGCUCACCAAGGCUACGAUCAGUAGCUGGUCUGAGAGGAUGACCAGCCACAUUGGGACUGAGACACGGCCCAAACUCCUACGGGAGGCAGCAGUGGGGAAUCUUGCGCAAUGGGCGAAAGCCUGACGCAGCCAUGCCGCGUGGAUGAUGAAGGUCUUAGGAUUGUAAAAUCCUUUCACCGGUGAAGAUAAUGACUGUAGCCGGAGAAGAAGCCCCGGCUAACUUCGUGCCAGCCGCCGCCGUAAGAC